rnacentral:rRNA from 1 species
UACGGAAGGCAGCAGUGGGGAAUAUUGCACAAUGGGCGCAAGCCUGAUGCAGCCAUGCCGCGUGUAUGAAAAAGGCCUUCGGGUUGUAAAGUACUUUCAGUCGUGAGGAAGGUGUUAAGGUUAAUAACCUUAGCAAUUGACGUUAGCGACAGAAGAAGCACCGGCUAACUCCGUGCCAGCAGCCGCGGUAAUACGGAGGGUGCGAGCGUUAAUCGGAAUUACUGGGCGUAAAGGGCACGCAGGCGGUUAAUUAAGUUGGAUGUGAAAUCCCCGGGCUUAACCUGGGAAUGGCAUUCAAGACUGGUUAGCUAGAGUCUUGUAGAGGGGGGUAGAAUUCCGAUGUGUAGCGGUGAAAUGCGUAGAGAUGUGGAGGAAUACCGGUGGCGAAGGCGGCCCCUGGACAAAGACUGACGCUCAUGUGCGAAAGCGUGGGGAGCAAACAGGGAUUAGAUACC